UAACUUCGGGAGAAGGGGUGCUUUCUUAACGGAAAGCCGCAGUGAAUAGGCCCAAGCGACUGUUUAGCAAAAACACAGCUCUCUGCGAAGCCGUAAGGCGAAGUAUAGGGGGUGACACCUGCCCGGUGCUGGAAGGUUAAGGAGAGGGGUUAGCGUAAGCGAAGCUCUGAACUGAAGCCCCAGUAAACGGCGGCCGUAACUAUAACGGUCCUAAGGUAGCGAAAUUCCUUGUCGGGUAAGUUCCGACCCGCACGAAAGGUGUAACGAUUUGGGCACUGUCUCAACCAGAGACUCGGUGAAAUUAUAGUACCUGUGAAGAUGCAGGUUACCCGCGACAGGACGGAAAGACCCCGUGGAGCUUUACUGUAGCCUGAUAUUGAAUUUUGGUACAGUUUGUACAGGAUAGGCGGGAGCCUUUGAAACCGGAGCGCUAGCUUCGGUGGAGGCGCUGGUGGGAUACCGCCCUGACUGUAUUGAAAUUCUAACCUACGGGUCUUAUCGACCCGGGAGACAGUGUCAGGUGGGCAGUUUGACUGGGGCGGUCGCCUCCUAAAGUGUAACGGAGGCGCCCAAAGGUUCCCUCAGAAUGGUUGGAAAUCAUUCGUAGAGUGCAAAGGCAUAAGGGAGCUUGACUGCGAGACCUACAAGUCGAGCAGGGACGAAAGUCGGGCUUAGUGAUCCGGUGGUUCCGCAUGGAAGGGCCAUCGCUCAACGGAUAAAAGCUACCCCGGGGAUAACAGGCUUAUCUCCCCCAAGAGUCCACAUCGACGGGGAGGUUUGGCACCUCGAUGUCGGCUCAUCGCAUCCUGGGGCUGUAGUCGGUCCCAAGGGUUGGGCUGUUCGCCCAUUAAAGCGGUACGCGAGCUGGGUUCAGAACGUCGUGAGACAGUUCGGUCCCUAUCCGUCGUGGGCGUAGGAAAUUUGAGAGGAGCUGUCCUUAGUACGAGAGGACCGGGAUGGACGCACCGCUGGUGUACCAGUUGUUCUGCCAAGGGCAUAGCUGGGUAGCUAUGUGCGGAAGGGAUAAGUGCUGAAAGCAUCUAAG
rnacentral:rRNA from 1 species